GUGCUUACUUUGGCAGCACAUACACUAAAAUUUGAAUGAUAGAGAUUAGCUUGGCCCCUACACAAGGAUGAUACAUUAAAAAAAAAAAAAAGGCAAAUGGAC